UAAAAUAUAGCUUGCACUUCACAAGAAGAGGAGUGGGGGAAAACCCAAUUACUAACCCUAAAAGCCGUCUCCAAGUUUACAAGAGUAUCCAAAGGAGACACCUAAACCUAGAGUGUAGAACAUCUCUACCGAUAUUUUAAUAUAGCCUUCAACCAUACAAUGGCCCCAGCCAUACAAUAUAAAUCGGGACUGUGCCUGUAAUCUCCCGACGUCCGGAAGAGGUCGAAGCUCUGUUCAAAAAGAUGGCAGCAGCAUUAAGCAUUCCGAUGUGGCGUGGCAACAGUAAGUUUUGCUCGGCACUUAGAGAAGCAAAAGAAAAUAGGCAAGUAGUGCACCAAUCAAAAGAGAAGAUAUCUAUAGGGAUUCAAACGUUCCCUGCGAUUCACUUUCAAGCCUACCAUCGACGAAUAAUUGUUCCCAAAAGGUGUUCAUGAGUACCAGGCUUAGGGCUUAAUCGUGGUGAUGCAGAUACAAUCACUCACUCUUCCGACUACAUAUGAUUUCCUUUCUUAUUCUAGUUUUGGAUUUUAAUUUUGUAAAUUUAUUUAUAGUAUGAGAUUAUUAGGGGUCCACUAGUUGGAUUCCCGAGUUGUACGGAUUUUGAGGAUUUAAAUGAUAUUAAUUUAUUAUUUAAAAUUUGAGAAUUUUUAUUUUA